rnacentral:tRNA from 1 species
GCGGGAGUAACUCAGUGGUAGAGUGCCACCUUGCCAAGGUGGACGUCGAGGGUUCGAACCCCUUCUCCCGCUCCA